rnacentral:lncRNA from 1 species
UUUGCCCUUCAGGAACCAAACAACCGUAUGUGCUCCAAUCAGUAUUGGCCAUCCCACCUCUUCUUCUUCUAUGCUCCGAUUUCAUACUUGUUCUCUUCUUCUUCUCCUUCCUCCUUACAUCAAGCUGCUGUUCGAGUGAACGGGACAAAACAAACAUGGUACUGGAAUUCACACCUCUCUCGUUUACUCCAAGAUCCUGCGGGAUAGGCC